rnacentral:rRNA from 1 species
GACGAACGCUGGCGGCGUGCUUAACACAUGCAAGUCGAACGGAAAGGCCCUGCUUUUGUGGGGUGCUCGAGUGGCGAACGGGUGAGUAACACGUGAGUAACCUGCCCUUGACUUUGGGAUAACUUCAGGAAACUGGGGCUAAUACCGGAUAGGAGCUCCUGCUGCAUGGUGGGGGUUGGAAAGUUUCGGCGGUUGGGGAUGGACUCGCGGCUUAUCAGCUUGUUGGUGGGGUAGUGGCUUACCAAGGCUUUGACGGGUAGCCGGCCUGGGAGGGUGACCGGCCACAUGGGGACUGAGAUACGGCCCAGACUCAUACGGGAGGCAGCAGUGGGGAAUAUUGCACAAUGGGCGGAAGCCUGAUGCAGCAACGCCGCGUGCGGGAUGACGGCCUUCGGGUUGUAAACCGCUUUCGCCUGUGACGAAGCGUGAGUGACGGUAAUGGGUAAAGAAGCACCGGCUAACUACGUG